CAGCAGCCGCGGUAAUACGUAGGGGGCGAGCGUUGUCCGGAAUUAUUGGGCGUAAAGCGCGUGUAGGCGGCUCAGCAAGUCCGCUCUGAAAGCCCAGGGCUCAACCCUGGGAUGCGGGUGGAUACUGCUGAGCUCGAGUCCGGAAGAGGCGAGUGGAAUUCUUGGUGUAGCGGUGAAAUGCGCAGAUAUCAGGAGGAACACCAAUGGCGAAGGCAGCUCGCUGGGACGUGACUGACGCUGAGACGCGAAAGCGUGGGGAGCAAACAGGAUUAGAUACCCGCGUAGUCCCUGUCUCUUAUAC
rnacentral:rRNA from 1 species